CCUACGGGAGGCAGCAGUGAGGAAUCUUGGUCAAUGGACGAGAGUCUGAACCAGCCAAGUAGCGUGAAGGAUGACUGCCCUUUGGGUUUUAAACUUCUUUUAUAUGGGAAUAAAAUGUUCCACGUGUGGCACUUUGUAUGUACCAUAUGAAUAAGGAUCGGCUAAAUCCGUGCCAGCAGCCGCGGUAAUACGGAGAAUCCGAGCGUUGUCCGGAUUUAUUGGGUUAAAAGGGAGCGUAGGUGGAUUGUUAAGUCAGUUGUGAAAGUGUGCGGCUCAACCGUAAAAUUGCAGUUGAAACUGGCAGUCUUGAGUACAGUAGAGGUGGGCGGAAUUCGUGGUGUAGCGGUGAAAUGCUUAGAUAUCACGAAGAACUCCGAUUGCGAAGGCAGUUCACUGGACUGCAACUGACGCUGAGGCUCGAAAGUGUGGGUAUCAAACAGGAUUAGAUACCCGUGUAGUC
rnacentral:rRNA from 1 species